UGUUUCAGGAUUAAGCCAGCACCAUAUACAACAGGAAGCAGCCAUGUUCCUGCCAGCAACAGCAGCAGCAGCUUCCACUCAAGUCCUGAGGAGCUGGCCUACGAAGGGCCCAGUACCAGCAGUGCCCACUUAGCUCCUGUGGCCAGCAGCUCUGUUUCCUAUGAUCCCAGGAAACCAGCUGUGAAGAAAAUUGCCCCGAUGAUGGCCAAGACCAUUAAAGCAUUCAAGAACAGAUUUUCCCGACGAUAAACAGGACUUGCCUUGGAGGUUGAGUCUGGAAGCAGGACUACAGGGACUAUGGGGACGGGAGAAGAGGAUGUCCACAGAAGACCCGUAUCUUUUGCUCUGUGGAACUUUUGGCCUCUGACUCCUGCACAGUUCCAGGUGUCCCCCUCUGUGCCUCAGCCCUGCACCCUGCUUGUAGCACACUUCAGAUUUCUGAAGACAGUAUGAGCCUCAGUCUUACUGAGGACUUUAAGAUCAGUUAUACUUUUGUUGCUAAUUAGCAUCUUUGUAAACUAUAAGACAUAGUUUUAAUUAAUAAAUAUUGCCCCCAGAUGUAUUUAUAAUACCCCCAGGGGUUUUUAUUUUAUUUUAUUUUCUCUUUGGUCCACUAUAUUUAGCCCUUUACUUUCCAGGUCCUUUAUUAAAGUUAGAUGAGCCUAGCGAAAGCCAUUCUUGUCCUAGUCAGCUCUUCUGAGUAGACACUGGUCCUUCAGAGCCAGUGUGUCACUCCAAACCCAGAUGCAGGGCUAGGAGUGAGUGAAUGCCAGGAUGCCUGUCCUCCAGGGGAGCCUCCCUGCUGAAACCCCCACUGUUCCUUGGUGGGCACUUUUCUUCAGUAGAUUUGUUAAGGAAGGCCGUUUGCAUCAUCUUCAAAGCAUACUACUCUCCCCCAUUUUCCAGCUCACUGGAGGACAGAGCCUAAGA
rnacentral:lncRNA from 1 species